rnacentral:rRNA from 1 species
UUUUUCCUACGGGACGCAGCAGUAGGGAAUCUUCCACAAUGGGCGAAAUCCUGAUGGAGCAACGCCGCGUGGGUGAAGAAGGUCUUCGGAUCGUAAAACCCUGUUGUUAGAGAAGAAAGUGCGUGAGAGUAACUGUUCACGUUUCGACGGUAUCUAACCAGAAAGCCGCGGCUAACUACGUGCCAGCAGCCGCGGUAAUACGUAGGUGGCAAGCGUUAUCCGGAUUUAUUGGGCCUAAAGGGAACGCAGGCGGUCUUUUAAGUCUGAUGUGAAAGCCUUCGGCUUAACCGGAGUAGUGCAUUGGA